rnacentral:rRNA from 1 species
GAUGAACGCUGGCGGCGUGCCUAAUACAUGCAAGUCGAACGAAGCUUCUUUAUCACCGAGUGCUUGCACUCACCGAUAAAGAGUUGAGUGGCGAACGGGUGAGUAACACGUGGGCAACCUGCCCGAAAGAGGGGGAUAACACUUGGAAACAGGUGCUAAUACCGCAUAACCAUGAACACCGCAUGAUGUUUAUGUGAAAGGUGGUUUCGGCUACCGCUUUCGGAUGGGCCCGCGGCGCAUUAGCUAGUUGGUGGGGUAAAGGCUUACCAAGGCAAUGAUGCGUAGCCGAACUGAGAGGUUGAUCGGCCACAUUGGGACUGAGACACGGCCCAAACUCCUACGGGAGGCAGCAGUAGGGAAUCUUCCACAAUGGGCGAAAGCCUGAUGGAGCAACGCCGCGUGGGUGAAGAAGGUCUUCGGAUCGUAAAACCCUGUUGUCAGAGAAGAAAGUGCAUGAGAGUAACUGUUCAUGUUUCGACGGUAUCUGACCAGAAAGCCACGGCUAACUACGUGCCAGCAGCCGCCGUAA